UAAGGUGAAACACAGUGUACAACACGGGACUUGACCAUAGCUGCUUUUGGCAAGGGGUGUUGUAGCUGGCCUAAGAGAGCAGGUGGAAGCAUCUUCCUUGAGGGUGUCUCGCACAGGCUGAGUGGGGGCCAAGCUGCACUCUGAAGAGCAGCACGAGAAGGGCGGGCUGGUUGUGCCAUGGCAGGCUCUCCACAGAAGCGGUUGAGGAUUUGAGAAGAGGUUGCAGAUGAUCAAGGAGCGACACGUGCAGGGAUGGCUUGAAAAGGGUAUGGCUGCUUUCUCUUCUGUUUAUCAGGUGUCCCAGGCAACGUGGGCUGUGAUGUUAGUCUUUAGAAUAGGAACAAAGCAGGUGCUGAUGGACGUCU